GACCCUCUGUGCCAGUAUCAGUGCCAACUGGGAGAGAGUGGGCAGUGUCCAAGAGGGGCCAACCUCAGACCACACCAAGCUGGGUCCUUUAAGGGGCUCAAAGCUCACCAAACCAUGUCGCUUGACUAAUUCCUCAUGGCCUGCUAUGAUCAAGUUGAUGCUGCUGAUCAGAUUCAGAAUCACAUACAAUAGACCAGAACCUCCUUUCCCCCUGAUGUCAUUGAUAAUACGAAGCUGACGCCAGUGUUCAUGGGUCCCUCUCAUAUUUUGAUUUUUAUUUCUGACAGAUACUGAUCCAGUGUCUGUGGAUAACAGUACCACUUUUCAAAAUGCCUCUGACUUCUCCUCUGGACUGGUGUCUCCCCUGCGAUCAUUGUUAUGGCUCUUAUGUUGUGGUUUAGUCACUAAAUGACAUUAGAACCUAAACAUAUACCUAACAACAGUCUAUAAAGCCUGAUGACCUAC
ensembl:lncRNA